rnacentral:rRNA from 1 species
CCCUGACUCUGGGAUAAGCGUUGGAAACGACGUCUAAUACUGGAUACGACUGCCGGCCGCAUGGUCUGGUGGUGGAAAGAUUUUUUGGUUGGGGAUGGACUCGCGGCCUAUCAGCUUGUUGGUGAGGUAAUGGCUCACCAAGGCGACGACGGGUAGCCGGCCUGAGAGGGUGACCGGCCACACUGGGACUGAGACACGGCCCAGACUCCUACGGGAGGCAGCAGUGGGGAAUAUUGCACAAUGGGCGAAAGCCUGAUGCAGCAACGCCGCGUGAGGGAUGACGGCCUUCGGGUUGUAAACCUCUUUUAGUAGGGAAGAAGCGAAGUGACGGUACCUGCAAAAAAGCACCGGCUAACUACGUGCCAGCAGCCGCGGUAAUACGUAGGGUGCAAGCGUUGUCCGGAAUUAUUGGGCGUAAAGAGCUCGUAGGCGGUUUGUCGCGUCUGCUGUGAAAUCCCGAGGCUCAACCUCGGGCUUGCAGUGGGUACGGGCAGACUAGAGUGCGGUAGGGGAGAUUGGAAUUCCUGGUGUAGCGGUGGAAUGCGCAAAUAUCAGGAGGAACACCGAUGGCGAAGGCAGAUCUCUGGGCCGUAACUGACGCUGAGGAGCGAAAGCGUGGGGAGCGAACAGGAUUAAAUACCCUGGUAGUCCACGCCGUA